CCUUGACAUGCAGAGAACUUUACCAGAGAUGGAUUGGUGCCUUCGGGAACUCUGACACAGGUGCUGCAUGGCUGUCGUCAGCUCGUGCGUGAGAUGUUGGGUUAAGUCCCGUAACGAGCGCAACCCUUGUCCUUAGUUACCAGCACGUUAUGGUGGGCACUCUAAGGAGACUGCCGGUGACAAACCGGAGGAAGGUGGGGAUGACGUCAAGUCAUCAUGGCCCUUACGGCCUGGGCUACACACGUGCUACAAUGGUCGGUACAAAGGGUUGCCAAGCCGCGAGGUGGAGCUAAUCCCAUAAAACCGAUCGUAGUCCGGAUCGCAGUCUGCAACUCGACUGCGUGAAGUCGGAAUCGCUAGUAAUCGUGAAUCAGAAUGUCACGGUGAAUACGUUCCCGGGCCUU
rnacentral:rRNA from 1 species